UUACAAUGCGUAUUCAUGUUCGAUGCUGACUCUUUCACUUUAUGCUGUGCAAUGCAACCAACUCUGUCUGCCCAACUGAGACGGCUGAGAUGAUUUUACAUUCAAGGAAUACAGCGAGCAGUUUGAAAGUGAGUAACUUCCAAAACAAUUCCCAGACUUUUAUCUGCUUAUGCAGCCACAGAAUUUAUAAGUGCUUACUACUCCUUACUAAGUGACCAGUGGCCUUCCUGAAUUAGUGCAGCCUUUAAUGAAGGUACAAUCACAGAGCUGUUGGGAAAGAAGCUCCAGAAAUUUGACUUAGUGACAGUGAAGGAACGGUAAUAUAGUUCCAAGUCAGGAUGGCAUGUGACAUGGAGGAGAGCUUCAAGAUAGUGGUGUUUCCAUACAUGCACAUCCUUCUAGGUGGCAGACAUCGUGGGUUUGGAAGGUGCUGUUGAAGAAGUUCAUGGGAGUGAUGAUCAUCAA